AGAUUGUUUCAAAGAGGGCUUGUGGAGCUGCAGAACCAAGAGCUCCUAAUGUAUGACCGAAGAUCGAAGUUCUCUGUAGGAUGCCAUAUUCACUCAGCAGUGCUGUAUCUUCCCAAGCAGGUUUAAGA
rnacentral:snoRNA from 1 species